rnacentral:rRNA from 1 species
GGAUCUAGUGGCGCACGGGUGCGUAACGCGUGGGAAUCUGCCCUUGGGUACGGAAUAACUCGCCGAAAGGUGAGCUAAUACCGUAUGAAGUCUACGGACCAAAGAUUUAUCGCCUGAGGAUGAGCCCGCGUUGGAUUAGCUAGUUGGUGGGGUAAAGGCUUACCAAGGCGACGAUCCAUAGCUGGUCUGAGAGGAUGAUCAGCCACACUGGGACUGAGACACGGCCCAGACUCC